rnacentral:rRNA from 1 species
GAUCACUUUCAACAACGGAUCUCUUGGCUCUCGCAUCGAUGAAGAACGUAGCGAAGUGCGAUAAGUAGUGUGAAUUGCAGAAUUCCGUGAAUCAUCGAAUCUUUGAACGCAAAUUGCACUCCCUGGCAUUCCGGGGAGUAUGCCUGUUUGAGGGUCAGUU